GAAGUAACCUGAGCCUUGCACGGCAGGCUCUUACUCCAGACUGCCUUGUACAGAACUUCUCCUUACAACACUCUUCACGGACGAACAAUCACCCAGGAAGAAUAAAUGAAACAUGCCACCAUUUUGCAAAUCUACCAGCAUUGUGCAGUAUAGAAGCAACUAGUCCUAUGUGGCUAUUGAGCACGUGAAAUGUGGCUGGCCCAAAUUGAGAUAUACGAUAUCUAUGUAUCAGAGGAAAAAAGCAUGUGAUUUCAGGCUUCUGCUGGGAGUCUUGGAACAUAUUCCCCAAGGAAUGUGCCCCUAUAUUUUACGCCUGUAUUCCUCAAGAGGUGAGAGAAAUAACUGCCUGGGAAGAGGAACUCUUGAACCACAAGGAAAUUAUUUUCAUCCAAAUAUCCUUAGUGAUUAAAAAAUAA